UGAAAGUCGAGCGAGGUAACCGUAAAUUGCUCCCUGAUGUUAGCGGCGGACGGGUGAGUAACACGUGGGUAACCUGCCUGUAAGACUGGGAUAACUCCGGGAAACCGGGGCUAAUACCGGAUGCUUGUUUGAACCGCAUGGUUCAAACAUAAAAGGUGGCUUCGGCUACCACUUACAGAUGGACCCGCGGCGCAUUAGCUAGUUGGUGAGGUAACGGCUCACCAAGGCAACGAUGCGUAGCCGACCUGAGAGGGUGAUCGGCCACACUGGGACUGAGACACGGCCCAGACUCCUACGGGAGGCAGCAGUAGGGAAUCUUCCGCAAUGGACGAAAGUCUGACGGAGCAACGCCGCGUGAGUGAUGAAGGUUUUCGGAUCGUAAAGCUCUGUUGUUAGGGAAGAACAAGUACCGUUCGAAUAGGGCGGUACCUUGACGGUACCUAACCAGAAAGCCACGGCUAACUACGUGCCAGCAGCCGCGGUAAUACGUAUGUGGCUAGCGUUGUCCGGAAUUAUUGGGCGUAAAGGUCUCGCAGGCCGCUCCUUAAUUCUGAUGUGAAAGCCCCCGGCACAGUCGUGCCCGGGCAUUGUGAACUAGGGAACUUGGUGUAGCAAUAAAGAGCGGGAACCUCCCAAAUCUUACGCGUUAAUGCUUUAAGAAUGUGGAAUAAAAAGCAUAUCAAAUAGGGUAUCCUCCCGACGCUAUCUCUCCCUAGGAACAGUAACGAGUGGGGAGAGACCCGGUCUACCAUGCUGGGUUCCCCAAAUGUCUAACAAAUUCAGCGCUAACCUGUGGAAUGCCUCU
rnacentral:rRNA from 1 species